rnacentral:rRNA from 1 species
GAUGAACGCUGGCGGCGUGCCUAAUACAUGCAAGUCGAGCGAACAGACGAGGAGCUUGCUCCUCUGACGUUAGCGGCGGACGGGUGAGUAACACGUGGAUAACCUACCUAUAAGACUGGGAUAACUUCGGGAAACCGGAGCUAAUACCGGAUAAUAUAUUGAACCGCAUGGUUCAAUAGUGAAAGACGGUUUUGCUGUCACUUAUAGAUGGAUCCGCGCCGCAUUAGCUAGUUGGUAAGGUAACGGCUUACCAAGGCAACGAUGCGUAGCCGACCUGAGAGAGUGAUCGGCCACACUAGAACUGAGACACGGUCCAGACUCCUACGGGAGGCAGCAGUAGGGAAUCUUCCGCAAUAGGCGAAAGCCUGACGGAGCAACGCCGCGUGAGUGAUGAAGGUCUUCGGAUCGUAAAACUCUGUUAUUAGGGAAGAACAAAUGUGUAAGUAACUAUGCACGUCUUGACGGUACCUAAUCAGAAAGCCACGGCUAACUACGUG